rnacentral:rRNA from 1 species
GAUGAACGCUGGCGGCGUGCCUAAUACAUGCAAGUCGAGCGAAGCGGGGACGGGUGAGUAACACGUGGAUAACCUCCUAUAAGCCUGGGAUAACUUCGGGAAAACGGCGCUAAACCGGAUACUGAUAGACGGAUACGCGCUGCAUUAGCUAGUUGGGAGGGUAUAGGCUUACCAAGGCAACGAUGCAGAGCAGACCUGAGGGGGUGAGCGGUCACAGUGGAACUUAGACACGGUCCAGACUCCGAAGGUAGUCUGAAGUAGAGAAUCGUCCGCAAUGGGCGAAAGCCUGAAGGAGAAACGCCGCGUGAGUGAUGAAGGUCUUCGGAUCGUAAAACUCUGGUAUUAGGGAAGCGGUACCUAAUCAGAAAGCCACGGAUAACUACGUGCCAGCAGCCGCGGUAAGUC